AUUGAACGCUGGCGGCAGGCCUAACACAUGCAAGUCGAACGAGUGGCGGACGGGAGUGUAAUGUCUGUGACACUGCCCGAUGGAGGGGGAUAACUACUGGAAACGGUAGCUAAUACCGCAUACCAUCGGAUGUGCCCAGAUGGGCUUAGCAUGUAGGUGGGGUAACGGCUCACCUGGGCGAAGAUCCCUAGCGGGUCUGAGAGGAUGACCAGCCACACUGGAACUGAGACACGGUCCAGACUCCUACGGGAGGCAGCAGUGGGGAAUAUUGGACAAUGGGCGCAAGCCUGAUGCAGCCAUGCCGCGUGUAGGAAGAAGGCCUUCGGGUUGUAAAGUACUUUCAGCGAGAAGGCGUUACCCGCAGAAGAAGCACCGGCUAACUCCGUGCCAGCAGCCGCGGUAAUAC
rnacentral:rRNA from 1 species